AACAUCUGCUUGCUCUACAGCCCAUUCUUAUGAAGGCAUUUUCUCAAUUGAUGUUCCCUCCUCUCAGAUGACUCAACUAACCAGCACCCUGCUGUUAAUGUCAUAUGUGAUAACCAUUAUUUUUAUAUUAUGUUCCCAAUUAUGGUUGCAUAAUCGGUUGCCCGGAGUGGGGUGCAGAAAGUGUUAGCAGUAAGUGGGGAGCACAUAAAACGGUCUCGUCCUUACGUCACACUGAGAUGGUGUCAGCUCAGAAAUGCCUUAGGAGAGUCUUCUCUUGAAGCUAAGGUAGCUUCUCCUCUCCUGUGUGUGGACCCAGACUCCUCCGAGAGCUUUUUGUGUAACCAAUCUGUGGAACUGAUUAUAAAUUCUAUAUGCCCCACCGCACACACAUGCCUUACUGAAUUAUAACAGGGAGGCAGGGAUAGCCUGAACAUGUGGGAAGCACUUUCAAAAACUCUAGAGAUGACACUGAUAAUACCCCCUCCCUCACACACACACAGACACUCGCACACACACACAGACACACACAGACACACACACACACACACAGACACAGACACACACACACACACACACACUCACUCACUCGCCGAAGGCCAUGGCUGCUGGCCUCAGACUUCCCGGACCUAGAUGAACUUGGGAAGAACUUUGGCCAAGCCUGUUCCUCGACCUGUUCCAGCACCAGCCCCUGGGGGCUGAGCAGAGAAGACCACAGGAAUAGAAAGAUGCUUGGCCCUUCAUUAGAAAUGUAAAUGCUUGGGCUGGAGAGAUGGCUCAGUGGUUAAGAGCACUGACUGCUCUUCUGAAGGUCCUGAGUUCAAAUCCUAGCAACCACAUGGUGGCUCACAACCAUCCAUAAUGAGAUCUGACGCCCUCUUCUGGAGUGUCUGAAGACAGUGACAGUGUACUUACAUAUAAUAAAUAAAUAAAUCUUUAAAAAAAAAGAAAUGUAAAUGUUCUUUCUGUUUAAGAGACUGUCUAGCCCACUUUUUGGUUGCUUAACUAAACUCAAGAUUGAUAACAUGAACUAUUUGGUCAGAAAGUCAGGAGCCAACUUUGUUGCUAGAGGCCUCCAGGGAGCUCUUAGGACCUAGUCCUCUGCUUCUCGUAGGGUUAGGAAAGGCUACUUUACAGUUUAGUAGGGUGCAGUUUACUUAGAGUCUACGUGGUUUGAGAACUACAACCUAUGACUUCCAUCAGGAAUGGGGUGCAGCUCAACGGGACAGUGCUCACUUGGCCCUGAAACCGAUCCUCAGAACCACCAAAAAACAAGUUAAAAAAAGUUCUCAUUAAAGUAAUUGGAAGUAACCUUUAAAGUAUAAAGUAGCAUAUGGCAUAGAUAAACACAAAGGAUGGUGAGCUAAGUGAAGAGAGAGGAAUAGGCAAGUGCCACGUGUUCCUCCUCGUGUGAGGAAAUGGAAAAACAUCAAACUCAGAGAACCAGACUCGAAUGAUAAGUGCCAGGUUCGGGUGAUGCAAAACCUGGGUACACCUUUCAGUUUUAGGAAGACUUGGCACCUAGGUAUAACAUGGUUAAAUUUCGUUAAAUCAUUGCAUGAUUAAAAUUCGUUAAAAGAUUAGAUCUUAGAUAUUUUUACCAGAUAGACAAAGUAUGGGAAGUGAUGGAUAUUAAAAGGUCUGACUAUGACGCCCAUCACGCUGUGUGUGCGUGCGUUCGUGUGUAUGUGUGUGUUCAUGACUUUCUGUACCUCGAAUAAUUUUGUCAGUUAUACCUCAAAAAUGAAAAAGAUAAGUCAAUGUAAAUGAAACCACUUUGCAUACUAGUCGAUCUUUAAAAUCUUUUAAACCUAUUUUAUUUCUCAGAGAAGGAAAAAAUGCUAUGCAUUUAGCAGUAAAAUAAAAGAUCAUUUCCUUUAUUCAACAUAUUCUCUAUGCAGUAACCCAAUUUUAGUGGGAUAUAAACAACUGAGUUAAGUCCACCUGGCGGACACACAAACUCAGCUUCAGGGUGUCAUCAGUUUUGUUUGUCUGCACCCCUGUGAGAGGAGAGAAAGACAGACACACACACACACACACACACACAGAGAGAGAGAGAGAGAGAGAGAGAGAGAGGGAAAGAACAUGGAGAAGCUGACCUGUCAUUCAUGGGAAGGGAAAAUCAGGAAAAGUUGAGAAGACGUCCAUGUAACGCUGGUUUUCAAAACAGGAAGGAGACUCAGGCAUUGAUGUGUGUAACAAGAAAGCUAUCUCAAUAGUAAGCAACCUCCCUUCAUCUUCCCCCAGGGCUGGGCCCUGGGAUGUGAAGUGGAAAGUGUGUGUGUGUGUGUGUGUGUGUGAUUCACUCUGUCUCACAUUAGUCCUUGUUGAUUUUCCAGCAAAAGAUGUCAGUUGGCAUUUGCCAUUCUACAGUAGAAACUGUAUACAUCUUUCUGUUUUUCCUAAUGAAAGUGAAGGGCAAUCAUCAGGAGUAAAUUAUUUAAUACAAUAAUAUUUUCAUAGUAGAAAAGAGACACAAAUAGCAAUGCCUGCGGCUAAUGGGUUUCCCCCAUCAGAUAAAAGGCUGAUGACACCACAGAACAGGUGACAACCCGUGCGUAAGUGACAGCUUACAGGUCAGCUCACUCUCAGGAGGGGUUGGGAGGGUUCCGUCUGUUUUCUCAUGUUGGGUUGAUAACUGAUGUGUAGCCACUCAGCCUCCUUCAUCAGAGCCGUCAUUUAUUUGUCUUUCUGAGCCUGGUUACUUUAAACAAGUAAUAUUUUACUCUCCAAGUGAAGUCGUCAUUAAAUGAAUGUACUGGUAGCAGUCAACUGAGCUUGCACUGAACCUUGCUCUGCCAGAAUUAAACCCUAAAGCCCCAAGGCAUCCAUUGUGCGUACCGAAUUAACUUCCCUCUGGUGAACCCAAUCUGGUACUAGUUAUGUGCCAUUCUUCAGAGUGUCGAGAAGGGUCACUCAAAUGGUUUUCUGUAUCCUGUGGCUCAGUCAUACCCCCCCCCCCGCCCCUUCCACACCCCCACCACCAGCAAAAAAAGGGCAACCCAGCUGUGGCUUCCACUCCUGCUGCCUAGCUUACCUUCUGAACCUUCCCGGAAUCACUGGAGUAGAAGGGAAGGCUUUGGAGCUAUACUUUUGGGAUCCAAUCGCAGCCAUAGUAACCAUGCCCAAUUUGUUCAACUAUAAGCCACUAAAAUGGGGUUAAUAGACUCACUUCACAAGGUUUCUGUGAGAGUCAACCUGUCUAACACAUAUUAAGCAUUUAGACCGGUGUCUGCCACACAGAAGUCUACAGUCCAUAUUGCAUCUGUAGUCAUAGGAGAUGACUGGUGGAGAGAGGCUGGAGUCUUGAGUUCUGUCUUGAGUUGUGAGUUACCUAAGACUUUGUCAUUUACCUCAGAAAUGUUAGGAGAGUGGAGAGAAACCAUAUGAAGCCUCCUUUCUCCCUAUGUAAGCACCCGGUACAUAUUAGAUUCUCAAGCUGUGACGUAGGCACACAUGCAGCAGCAGCAGCUGGAAGCUGAGGCACACUGGUCCUGCCAGAGCCCAUCUCUGUCACUCUGGUAAUGUCUGGUCUAACUAGUCCCCGUAUUGCUUCUGAGGUGGUAAUGUCUGUUCUAACUAGUGCCCAUAUUGUUUCUGAGGUGGUAGUGUCUGGUCUAACUAGUCCCUAUAUUGCUUCUGAGGUGGUAAUGUCUGUUCUAACUAGUCCCUAUAUUGCUUCUGAGGUGGUAGUGUCUGGUCUAACUAGUCCCUAUAUUGCUUCUGAGGUAGUAAUGUCUGUUCUAACUAGUGCCCAUAUUGUUUCUGAGGUGGUAGUGUCUGGUCUAACUAGUCCCUAUAUUGCUUCUGAGGUGGUAAUGUCUGUUCUAACUAGUCCCCAUAUUGUUUCUGAGGUGGUAAAGAGUGCUACCCUAGCUGUAAACCAUGAGCAAGACAGUGAGUGUUCCAACCUUCCAGAGCCUGUCUUUCCAGGGAAAUGAGUAGUUCAGAUUCUUACAGGUCCAGUGGAACUGUGACCCAUAAAAGCUGACGGAGGAAUUAGGCAGUUGGAAGGAGCUUUGCAAAGAAUUCCUAAGAAAUACGAUUUAAAUUGCAUCCAGGUGUCGGUGGGAGGAGGAGGGCAUUCCAAAGGCAGAAGCUCAUGGGUCCUGGGUGACUGGCCUGCUCACGAACCGCAUCUUUUCUCUUACUUCAUCUAAUUUUUUAUUCUUUGAGAGUUUGAUACGUGAGUGCUAUGUUUAUGUGAUGUCUGCUUCUCCUAUGAUACCAAAUUCAUGGCCUGCUCUUUAAUCUCACACACACACACACACACACACACACACACACACACCACCGAGCGC